UUAUGUGCUCUAUCUUCCUGGUUUUAGUGAGAACACGAGCAGCAGCAUUUUGGAUCAACUGCAGCUGUUUGAUUGAUUUGUUGGACAGACCUGUGAAGACGCUGUUACAAGGUUACAAGGUUCCUCAAACACAAUUUGCGACCUGGGAUAAGAUAAUAUCAAGAUUCAUUUGGGGCGGAAAAAAAACCUAGAGUUAAAUAUGAAACUCUUCAGCUACCGAAAGACAAGGGAGGUAUGGGUCUCCCAAAACUAAGGGAGUACUUUUGUGCAGCUCAACUCAGGCAUGUAAUAUGCUGGUGCACACCAGAAUACAUAGCUAAGUGGAAAGAUAUGGAGAAAGAAUUUGGAGGAUACCCAAUUCAAAGUGUUAUUGGAGAUGAAGAUAGAUAUGAGAAAAUCAAGAAAUACAUGGACCCAAUUACAGUGUUCACACUGGAAUUGUGGUUCAAAACAUUAAAAAAAACACAAGAUAAAGAAAGAAAUGAAGGUGCUCCGCUGGAUAGCAUAUGAUAAUGAAUUCAAACCAGCAAUGUAUGAUAAAGGGUUCAAACAAUGGAUAAAUAAGGGGGUCACAGGAUGGUAUACCCUUCUGAAAGAUGGGGAGCUUGUGAUGUUUACAGUGUACCCUGUGUUUCUUGUUCAGCCAAUCCAAGUCACGCCCCUCAUUUCCGUUAUUCCUCGCACUUGUGUUUCUCCCUAAUUGUCUCCCUUCUUAAACCUCCCUCAGUCACAACCAAGCUGCCAGAUUAUCGAACGCUUUCAGCUAGUAGUUUUCCAGCACUCUUACCUCGCCCUUAUAAUCACGACCACGCCUUGUUCCUCGGACCUGUUCCUUUUGCCUCGCCCUUGUCGGACUAUUACUGAUUGCCUUUCUGGAUCUCGACCCACGCCUGUUACUGUAACUCCGCUCUCGCCCACUCCCACGGAUUCUGUUCUCUGUCCCGAUCGUGUAUGACCUCCGCCCGUCUGACUAGGAUUCAGGAUCUGGAUUUGGUUCGUCUGCUUCCCCCACAAGUUGGCACGCUGCCCUGCAUCAGCGCUUCCCUCCCCAGGCACUUCGUCCCGAGCUCUGCGUCAGCGCAGCAUCUGCUCCACUCCUUAUUCCUCAGCCGAUCCCCACAUUUACUGAACGCCAGUGCUGCAGCUGACGAUCCUGUGCCCGGUUCAAGCUGCCUUUUAAUAAAUAUCAGAUUUACUGCUCACUCCUGUGUCGUGGCUGAAUUUCUGGGUCCCUCUAGUGUACCAUUACAGAGCUGAAGAGUUUUCAAAAAAUGAAGGAGAAGUAUAAUUUAGAUAAACAUGAAUUUUACAGGUACCUGCAAUUGAGAGACUAUUAUAAGAAAGAAAUCAGGUGGGAUCCCUCUGUGGAAGUGAAUGGGGUGAUUAAAAUUGUGAUAAAUUCAUCCAGUGGAACAAAAAUUUAAAUUAUCUCUACUCUAUAUCAAAAAUUGAUGAUGAACAAACAUUCAACUAAAUAUAUAAAAGAAAAGUGGGAGUCAGAGCUGAACACGACAAUUACAGAUGAAGACUGGUUGGAUAUGUGGGAAACACAUCAAACAUCCACCAAUUCACGGAUAUGGAGGGAAUUCUCAUGGAAAAAUCUAAUAUGAUUUUUCAUCAUGCCUAAAGUCCAGAAUAGGUACAAGGGCACAAACAUGGGGUGUUGGAGGAACUGUGGAUCAAUGAAUGCUGAUCAUUCUCACAUAUUCUGGAACUGUCCUGUCAUUGUCCAAUUCUGGAAAAAUGUUCAUGUAACAGUGGAGAAGGUUCUGGGAUAUGAUAUCCCUAUGAGUAGUGAGGUACUAUAUCAUUGCAAUUUUAAUAAUAUCAAAGUAAGGGCAAAAGACAGGUAUCUGAUUAAGAUACUGUUAAUAGCUAGCAAGAAAGCUAUUACGAAGAAAUGGGGAAAGGCGGAUCCCCCUUGUCAAGAACAAUGGACUGGAAUAAUAGAAGAAAUCCACAUUAUGGAAAAACUGACACAUCGUUUGAGACUUCAGCAAACACAAAUGGAAGAGAAGUGGAAGAAAUAGACAAUAUUCAAGACAAAGGUCAGCGACAAGAAAUAAAGAACUAGACAAACUAGAUGGAACUAAGGUCAAAUAGAGGAACAGCUCCCAAGCCAAAGUUUUAUGUUAUGUUAUGUUGAUUGUAAAGUGUUCAUGUAUAUUGUAUAUGUAAGCAAAAAUGGAAAAAACUAAUAAAAAGUUCAAUGAUAAAA